GAUGAAGAACGUAGCGAAAUGCGAUAAGUAAUGUGAAUUGCAGAAUUCAGUGAAUCAUCGAAUCUUUGAACGCACAUUGCGCCCCCUGGUAUUCCGGGGGGCACGCCUGUUCGAGCGUCAUUUCACCACUCAAGCCUCGCUUGGUAUUGGGCAACGCGGUCCGCCGCGUGCCUCAAAUCGACCGGCUGGGUCUUCUGUCCCCUAAGCGUUGUGGAAACUAUUCGCUAAAGGGUGUUCGGGAGGCUACGCCGUAAAACAACCCCAUUUCUAAGGUUGACCUCGGAUCAGGUAGGGAUACCCGCUGAACUUAAGCAUAUCAAUAAGCGGAGGA
rnacentral:misc_RNA from 1 species